rnacentral:rRNA from 1 species
UCGGGGUACUCGAGUGGCGAACGGGUGAGUAACACGUGGGUGAUCUGCCCUGCACUUUGGGAUAAGCCUGGGAAACUGGGUUAUAAUACCGAAUAGGACCACGCGCUUCAUGGUGUGUGGUGGAAAGCUUUUGCGGUGUGGGAUGGGCCCGCGGCCUAUCAGCUUGUUGGUGGGGUAAUGGCCUACCAAGGCGACGACGGGUAGCCGGCCUGAGAGGGUGACCGGCCACACUGGGACUGAGAUACGGCCCAGACUCCUACGGGAGGCAGCAGUGGGGAAUAUUGCACAAUGGGCGCAAGCCUGAUGCAGCGACGCCGCGUGAGGGAUGACGGCCUUCGGGUUUGUAAACCUCUUUCAAUAGGGACGAAGCGCAAGUGACGGUACCUAUAGAAGAAGCACCGGCCAACUACGUGCCAGCAGCCGCGGUAAUACGUAGGGUGCGAGCGUUGUCCGGAAUUACUGGGCGUAAAGAGCUCGUAGGUGGUUUGUCGCGUUGUUCGUGAAAACUCACAGCUUAACUGUGGGCGUGCGGGCGAUACGGGCAGACUAGAGUACUGCAGGGGAGACUGGAAUUCCUGGUGUAGCGGUGGAAUGCGCAGAUAUCAGGAGGAACACCGGUGGCGAAGGCGGGUCUCUGGGCAGUAACUGACGCUGAGGAGCGAAAGCGUGGGGAGCGAACAGGAUUAGAUACCCUGGUAGUCCACGCCGUAAACGGUGGGUACUAGGUGUGGGUUCCUUCCUUGGGAUCCGUGCCGUAGCUAACGCAUUAAGUACCCCGCCUGGGGAGUACGGCCGCAAGGCUAAAACUCAAAGGAAUUGACGGGGGCCCGCACAAGCGGCGGAGCAUGUGGAUUAAUUCGAUGCAACGCGAAGAACCUUACCUGGGUUUGACAUGCACAGGACGCCGGCAGAGAUGUCGGUUCCCUUGUGGCCUGUGUGCAGGUGGUGCAUGGCUGUCGUCAGCUCGUGUCGUGAGAUGUUGGGUUAAGUCCCGCAACGAGCGCAACCCUUGUCCUAUGUUGCCAGCGGGUUAUGCCGGGGACUCGUAGGAGACUGCCGGGGUCAACUCGGAGGAAGGUGGGGAUGACGUCAAGUCAUCAUGCCCCUUAUGUCCAGGGCUUCACACAUGCUACAAUGGCCGGUACAAAGGGCUGCGAUGCCGUGAGGUGGAGCGAAUCCUUUCAAAGCCGGUCUCAGUUCGGAUCGGGGUCUGCAACUCGACCCCGUGUAGUCGGAGUCGCUAGUAAUCGCAGAUCAGCAACGCUGCGGUGAAUACGUUCCCGGGCCUUGUACACACCGCCCGUCACGUCAUGAAAGUCGGUAACACCCGAAGCC